rnacentral:rRNA from 1 species
GAUGAACGCUAGCGGCAGGCUUAAUACAUGCAAGUCGUGGGGCAGCAGGGGUAGCAAUACCCGCUGGCGACCGGCAAACGGGUGCGGAACACGUACGCAACCCUCCUUUAACUGGAGAAUAGCCCCUCGAAGAAGGGAUUAAUACUCCGUAACAUGUACAUGUGGCAUCACAAGUACAUUAUAGCUCCGGCGGUUAAAGAUGGGC